rnacentral:rRNA from 1 species
GACGAACGCUGGCGGCGUGCUUAACACAUGCAAGUCGAACGAGAAGAGAUGAGAAGCUUGCUUCUUAUCAAUUCGAGUGGCAAACGGGUGAGUAACGCGUAAGCAACCUGCCCUUCAGAUGGGGACAACAGCUGGAAACGGCUGCUAAUACCGAAUACGUUCUUUUUGUCGCAUGGCAGAAAGAAGAAAGGGAGGCUCUUCGGAGCUUUCGCUGAAGGAGGGGCUUGCGUCUGAUUAGCUAGUUGGAGGGGUAACGGCCCACCAAGGCGACGAUCAGUAGGGGUUCUGAGAGGAAGGUCCCCCANAUUGGAACUGAGACACGGUCCAAAACUCCUACGGGAGCAGCAGUGAGGAAUAUUGGUCAAAUGGCGAGAGCCUGAACCAGCCAAGUAGCGUGCAGGAUGACGGCCCUAUGGGUUGUAAACUGCUUUUAUAAGGGAAUAAAGUGAGCCUCGUGAGGCUUUUGCAUGUACCUUAUGAAUAAGGA